rnacentral:rRNA from 1 species
UAAGGUCAAGUAGAAAAGGGCGCACGGUGAAUGCCUAGGCACUAACAGCCGAUGAAGGACGUGACGAACUACGAAAAGCUUCGGGGAGCGGUAAGUACGCAGUGAUCCGGAGAUGUCCGAAUGGGGGAACCCAAUGCAGCGAUGCAUUAUUGGUUGAUGAAUAGAUAGUCAAUCAAAGGAAGACGCAGUGAACUGAAACAUCUAAGUAGCUGCAGGAAGAGAAAGAAAAAUCGAUUUCCUUAGUAGCGGCGAGCGAAGAGGAAAGAGCCCAAACCAAGUGAUUUAUCAUUUGGGGUUGUAGGACUGCAAAGUGGUAGCGUAAGCGAUAGUUGAAUUAUCUGGGAAGGUAAGCCAGAGAGGGUGAGAGCCCCGUAAGCGAAAUUGCGAGCGCGCCUAGCAGAAUCCUGAGUAGGCCGGGACACGAGGAAUCCCGGUUGAAGCCGCGAGGACCAUCUCGCAAGGCUAAAUACUAGUUAGUGACCGAUAGUGAACCAGUACCGUGAGGGAAAGGUGAAAAGAACCCCGGAAGGGGAGUGAAAGAGAACCUGAAACCGUGUGUCUACAAGUAGUCAAAGCACAUUAAAGUGCGAUGGCGUGCCUUUUGUAGAAUGAACCGGCGAGUUACGUUAUCUAGCGAGGUUAAGUCAGAAAAGACGGAGCCGGAGCGAAAGCGAGUCUGAAUAGGGCGAAGAGUUAGGUGACGUAGACCCGAAACCAAGUGACCUACCCAUGGCCAGGCUGAAGGUGUGGUAAAACGCACUGGAGGGCCGAACCCACGUAAGUUAAAAAUUGCGGGGAUGAGCUGUGGGUAGCGGUGAAAUUCCAAACGAACUUGGAGAUAGCUGGUUCUCUCCGAAAUAGCUUUAGGGCUAGCCUCGUGGAGAGGAUAAUGGAGGUAGAGCUCUGUUUGGACUAGGGGCCCGUCAGGGGUUACUGAAUCCAGAUAAACUGCGAAUUCCAUAUAUCCAUACACGGGAGUCAGACUGCGAGUGAUAAGAUCCGUAGUCGAAAGGGAAACAGCCCAGAUCACCAGUUAAGGUCCCCAAAUCUAUGCUAAGUGGAAAAGGAUGUGGAGUUGCGUAGACAACUAGGACGUUGGCUCAGAAGCAGCCAUCAUUCAAAGAGUGCGUAAUAGCUCACUAGUCGAGUGGCGCUGCGCCGAAAAUUUACCGGGGCUAAGCAUAGUACCGAAACUGUGGAUGCAUCGAAAGAUGCGUGGUAGGAGAGCGUUCUAAGUGCGGCGAAGGUUAACCGAGAGGAUAAUUGGAGCGCUUAGAAGUGAGAAUGCCGGUAUGAGUAGCGAAAGACAGGUGAGAAUCCUGUCCGCCGAAAGACUAAGGUUUCCUGGGGCAGGCUCGUCCGCCCAGGGUAAGUCGGGACCUAAGGCAAGGCCGAGAGGCGUAGUCGAUGGAUAACAGGUAGAAAUUCCUGUACUGUGUUUAAUCGUUAUGAGCGAUGGAGGGACGCAGGAGGUGAAACACGCAUCGAGCUGGAUCGAUGUUCAAGCAACAAGUGCGGUUAAGAGUCAAAUGCUUCUAACCAGCAACACGAGUUGUGAUGAGUAGCGAAGUAAUAGUAGCGAAGGUGAUGUAAUCACACUGCCAAGAAAAGCUUCUAGCCAGAGAGGACACACCCGUACCGCAAACCGACACAGGUAGUCGAGUGGAGAACACUAAGGUGAGCGAGAGAACUCUCGUUAAGGAACUCGGCAAAAUGACCCCGUAACUUCGGAAGAAGGGGUGCUGGCCACGAGAGUGGUUAGCCGCAGUGAAUAGGCCCAAACAACUGUUUAUCAAAAACACAGGUCUCUGCAAAAUCGUAAGAUGACGUAUAGAGGCUGACACCUGCCCGGUGCUGGAAGGUUAAGAGGAGAGCUUAGCGAAAGCGAAGGUUCGAAUUGAAGCCCCAGUAAACGGCGGCCGUAACUAUAACGGUCCUAAGGUAGCGAAAUUCCUUGUCGGGUAAGUUCCGACCUGCACGAAAGGUGUAAUGAUUUGGGCACUGUCUCAACGAGAGACUCGGUGAAAUUAUAAUACCCGUGAAGAUGCGGGUUACCCGCGACAGGACGGAAAGACCCCAUGGAGCUUCACUGUAGCUUGAUAUUGAGUAUCUUUUAAACAUGUACAGGAUAGGUAGGAGCCAAGGAAGGCAGGACGCUAGUUUUGCUGGAGGCAAUGUUGGGAUACUACCCUUGUUUGAAGGAUGCUCUAACCUCGACCUGUAAGCCAGGUCAGGGACAGUGUCAGGUGGGCAGUUUGACUGGGGCGGUCGCCUCCUAAAGUGUAACGGAGGCGCUCAAAGGUUCCCUCAGAAUGGUUGGAAAUCAUUCGCAGAGUGUAAAGGUAUAAGGGAGCUUGACUGCGAGAGAAACAGCUCGAGCAGGGACGAAAGUCGGACUUAGUGAUCUGGUGGUACCGUAUGGAAGGGCCAUCACUCAACGGAUAAAAGCUACCCUGGGGAUAACAGGCUUAUCUCCCCCAAGAGUUCACAUCGACGGGGAGGUUUGGCACCUCGAUGUCGGCUCGUCGCAUCCUGGGGCUGAAGUCGGUCCCAAGGGUUGGGCUGUUCGCCCAUUAAAGCGGCACGCGAGCUGGGUUCAGAACGUCGUGAGACAGUUCGGUCCCUAUCCGUCGUGGGCGUAGGAAAUUUGAGAGGAGCUGUCCUUAGUACGAGAGGACCGGGAUGGACGCACCGCUGGUGUACCAGUUGUUCCGCCAGGAGCAUCGCUGGGUAGCUAUGUGCGGAAGGGAUAAGCGCUGAAAGCAUCUAAGUGCGAAGCCCCCC